GUUCUUACCUUACUUUAUUUUUCUAAAUAUUAUACUGCAGUUUUUUCUUAUUUAAAGAGCUGAAUUACUCAAUAAAUAAACUACUAUUGCAGCAGAUAUUGAACUGAUCAGUUGGGUGAUAUUGAACUGAAACUGAAUGGCUAUUGCACUAGUAAUGCACUGCUAUUGAGCAGAUGUGUAUUGAAUACUCAUUGACCUGACAGUGAAUUGGUGUUUAACUGGUAUAUGAAUUGAUGUUUAGCUUCUAAUGAUUUGCUAUUGAAUUGAUAUUAAACUGAUAAUGAAUUGACAUUGAAGUGAGUGGUUAUUCAUGUGAUUAUGAAUUGGUUUAUUAUGUGGGAUUUGGGUUGGAUCGAUUCUAGGUUUGAAGUGAAUUGAUGGAUUUAUAAAUUUCGUUUUUUCUAGGAAUUUAGGAUUCAAUUAUUUCGAUUUUCUGGGUUUAUUAUGCUCUGUUUCAAGACCGUUCUAAUGAAGAUAUAAUUGAGGCAAUCAGGAGAAUCCGCAUAUACAACGCUAGUGCUCUUGCUGCAGAAAACCGGAAGAAAAUACAAGUAUGAAAAUUUUGGAAAUUUUCAUUCUAGCCGUUUAGCUUGUUGUGUCUACUUCUAUUAGCUUGUUGUGUCUACUUCUAUAAUGAAUAUUUGCAGUAUUUGAAAUUAUGAAUAAUGGUCAUGAAAAUAUAGUGCAGUAAUUUUGUUGAUUCUUGAUUUAUUGUGAGUUUUUGUCUAUAUGGGUUGCUUCAGCUGCUUCUUAGGAAGCUCACAUAUGGUGGUGCUGUUUCUUUUCAGGUUUGCUAUGAUCUUCUUCUGCAGUACUUUGCUACUUUAACGAAUCAAAAACCAUUGAAUUUUCAUUUAUUGAACUUGCUUUUUAAGCCACUGAUGGAGAUGAGUGCAGAGAUUCCAUAUUUUUCAGCGAUUUGUGCUCGUGAACGAAUUUUAAGGACUCGUACAAAAUUCUCUGAGGAUAUCAAGGACCCAGGUGAUUGCGGAAUCCAACUAUUCAAACAAUUGAAGAAUAAUAUGAGGAAGAAAAUAGCAUGACACUAACAAAGAAUGAGGCAAUUGAAAAAUGGAAUGACACUAUUCAAACUAUUAGAUAUUUUUUUUUUCUCUCUUGUAGUUUCCAAUUUCUUUUUACUGUAACAAUUGUGAACAACCAACGAGACAUGUUAGUUGAUUAAGGUGUUUAUAUAAAUGACAAUUAUUUUUUAUCUA